rnacentral:rRNA from 1 species
AGAACGAACGCUGGCGGCAGGCUUAACACAUGCAAGUCGAACGCCCUCGCAAGGGGGAGUGGCAGACGGGUGAGUAACACGUGGGAACAUACCCUUCGGUUCGGAACAACGCCGGGAAACUGGCGCUAAUACCGGAUACGGCUUUUGAGCGAAAGAUUUAUUGCCGAAGGAUUGGCCCGCGUUCGAUUAGCUUGUUGGUGAGGUAACGGCUCACCAAGGCGACGAUCGAUAGCUGGUCUGAGAGGAUGGCCAGCCACAUUGGGACUGAGACACGGCCCAAACUCCUACGGGAGGCAGCAGUGGGGAAUAUUCGGCAAUGGGCGCAAGCCUGACCGAGCGACGCCGCGUGCGGGACGACGCUUUUCGGAGUGUAAACCGCUUUUCUAUUCGACGAGACAGGACGGUAGAGUAGGAAGAAGUCUCGGCUAACUACGCGUCAGCAGCCGC